GACGUAGGGUGCAAGCGUUGUCCGGAUUUAUUGGGCGUAAAGAGCUCGUAGGCGGCUUGUUGCGUCGACUGUGAAAACCCGCGGCUUAACCGCGGGCUUGCAGUUGAUACGGGCAGGCUAGAGUUCGGUAGGGGAGACUGGAAUUCCUGGUGUAGCGGUGAAAUGCGCAGAUAUCAGGAGGAACACCGGUGGCGAAGGCGGCACUCUGGGCCGGUACUGACGCUGAGGAGCGAAAGCGUGGGGAGCGAACAGG
rnacentral:rRNA from 1 species